rnacentral:lncRNA from 1 species
UAUACCUCCCCAGAUUUUGCAAGGUUCUUACUUUGUGUAAUUAGCCCCAGGGAAAUGUGUUAUGUUCUAAUGAAUGUUGCACUUUAAAAAUGUGUAUAUUUGGGCCCUGGGGUGGAGCACCUGGAGAGUAGGGUGGGCCAGUGCUCCACUCCACAUUUUGGAAGUUGCUUGGUGAGAAGUCCAGUUCUGGAGUUUGAAUCCUAAUCUAACUCACCUGAAAAGGUUUGUCAAUUACCAGUGCUAUUAAGUACUCCCCUGCCAAGGAAGAAGGGAGAUUGUGUUUGGUUUCUGUGAGUGGAAACAGAGAGCUGAAAACCCUGAAGCAGUAAGGC